GGGGGUGUAGCUCAGCUGGGAGAGCACCUGCCUUGCAAGCAGGGGGUCGACAGUUCGAUUCUGUUCAUCUCCACCA
rnacentral:tRNA from 3 species